UGAACGCUGGCGGCGUGCCUCAUACAUGCACGUCGAGCGAACGGACGCGAAGCUUGCUUCUCUGAUGUUAGCGGCGGACGGGUGAGUAACACGUGGAUAACCUACCUAUAAGACUGGGAUAACUUCGGGAAACCGGAGCUAAUACCGGAUAAUAUUUUGAACCGCAUGGUUCAAAAGUGAAAGACGGUCUUGCUGUCACUUAUAGAUGGAUCCGCGCUGCAUUAGCUAGUUGGUAAGGUAACGGCUUACCAAGGCAACGAUGCAUAGCCGACCUGAGAGGGUGAUCGGCCACACUGGAACUGAGACACGGUCCAGACUCCUACGGGAGGCAGCAGUAGGGAAUCUUCCGCAAUGGGCGAAAGCCUGACGGAGCAACGCCGCGUGAGUGAUGAAGGUCUUCGGAUCGUAAAACUCUGUUAUUAGGGAAGAACAUAUGUGUAAGUAACUGUGCACAUCUUGACGGUACCUAAUCAGAAAGCCACGGCUAACUACGUG
rnacentral:rRNA from 1 species